AACGCACAUUGCGCCCUCUGGUAUUCCGGAGGGCAUGCCUGUCUGAGCGUCAACUCAUCCUCAAACUUAUGUUUGGUAUUGGAAGAAGAGGUUUCGACUUCUCUUCUGCAAACCAUUGGCAGUGGCUCAAGCUAUAGCAACGUAGUAAGCACAUAUUCGUUGUAAUGUAGUUGGAGACGCUUGCCAGAACCCAAAUCUUCUAAGUUUGACCUCAGAUCAGGUAGGGAUACCCCCUGAACUUAA
rnacentral:misc_RNA from 1 species